rnacentral:lncRNA from 1 species
AGCCCCACUGAAGCCCUGUGUAUACCUGGCCAAUGCUCUCAAAUCAACAUCUUUUGAGACAGGUGAUUUUCUCAAGCAGGAUUUAAAGAUUUGGAAACGCGAUUCUUCAUCAGGAAGAGGAAUAUAAAUCAAUUGAUCAAGACGGCCAGGUCGGAGAAGUGCUGGGUCAAUGAUGUCAGGUCGGUUUGUGGCCCCAAUAAUGAAAACCGUCUUUUUUGCUGUCAUGCCAUCCAUUUCAGUCAGGAGUUGGUUAAGAA